AUAGAAUAUACUCUAAAUAUUCUAUUUUUCUCUUCAGAAGUGUUUUAUUGCUGCUAUAACAAGUUUUGGCCUAUUUUUGUUAUUUAUCAUAAAGUUAAUAACGAUUACCCUGUCAACACGCGCUCGGUGUAAACAUGGCCGUCGUGUUGCGAACGUUGUAGAGCUACUGCUAAUGUUUUCGUGAAGCAUUUGAUAUUAACAACUCAUAGACCAGUUGAAGAUGUACGAUGCUUGAUCAGCAUGUCUCGGUCUAUCCAAUCCCCUGAUGCACCAAAGAGGCCACCUCGUCCUUUUGUGAAGUUUAUGACUGAAAAAAUGUCAGAAAUUCGACAAAAUAAUCCAGGUGCCAGUGCUCCUAAAAUAAGCAAGAUUGCAAGUCAGCUGUGGAAUGAGCUUGGCACAGAAGAGAAAACUGUGAGUUAUAUAUAGGAACUGGAGGAAACGUGUGUUUGAGUAACAUGGAAUGGCAUCAGUAUCUACUUGUUUGAAAUCACAAAUCUAAACACAGGCAUACAAGUUACGUGUACAAGAAGAAAAUCGGGACUACAGAAAGAAGUAUUUGGUUUUUUUAGAUGGACUCAGUGAGCUAGAAAAAGCCAGCUUCAUAAUAAUGAACGUGCCAAAAUGUCAUACCAUAGAAGAUUGAGAGACGAACAAGUUAGUGAAAGAUCAGUUUACCAUGGUAUCCAGGGCGGGAUAUGUUUUGAUCAACAGUCUAUAUCUUAUGCCUUUCGAGCAUGGCAGUUCCCCAAAUAAAAAAGAAACAAAGUAGAUGAGUACCUAAAAGUUUGAAUGUAGUAUUUGAUCACAUAUAUAUAACUGUCAUCAAAUAUCAGACGCAGGUACUUUUUUAUGAGCUCUUUGUCAACUUGUCAUUUUCAGCUGAUGGACUGAUGGACUGACUGUUUACAGGCUAUUUCUGUUUUCAGACUCACAGUCUUGUUCUGUGACUUUUACCUAUCCUCUUUUUUUUUUUUAGUCAUUUUUAAUGGCCUCAUCCUCAACAGUUUUUACCAUCCUUUUCACAGAAUCUUCAUUAUUGUUUGAUUGUGAUCUUCCACAGACACAUAUUUUACUUUUUUCUUGCUUUAACGUUUCUAUACACAGCUGGAAGAAUGAAAAACAUCAGAAUUCUUGUUCUUUCUCUCCCUCUCUUAUUAUAUCAUUAUAAUGGAUCCAUUAUAAUGUGACUCUAUCACAACCACUCUUGUACAGACAAGAAAUGCACUAUAUAAAUUUAUGACAAAAAUAAAAUUUGAAAAAAGUAUGUAAUCUGAAAAACAAUGUAAAUAUAUACAGCAGCAUUUUUCAUGAUAGUGAUUUAGCUUGAGAUUUAAGUUAUGAAAACAUUUUGUGCAUAAGAAGAUGUACAUGUUACUUUAUGUACAAAUUUUCAUAUAUUACAUAAUCCUUGCACUGCAGGAGUUGCGCGAUCUGGGAAAGCCAAAAAAGCCACCAAACGCAUACAUGGUGUUUCUGAGAUCUUUUCUGCCUGAACAGGGUGGUGUACCUAUGAAACUAUUUCUCAAACAAGUUGCAGACCACUGGCACAAUAUUCCCAAAGAGGGGAAAGAGAUAUACGAGAAAGAUGCCAGGGAAGAAAGAGAAAAGUACAAGAAGGAAUUAGAAGAAUGGGAGAAGAAAAUGAUAGAAAUUGGACGUGAAGAUCUUGUUCGCAAAUCAUUUCUUGCGAAAGCCAAAAGAACUUAAGUUUUCUAAGUAGCAUAGAAAUCCUCCUCAUCAGGCCAAAUACAGAAGACAGUCUUGGUAUCACCAGCAUCAAGAAGGAAAGUCACAAAGGAGUCUUACUUUUCAUGAGAAUAACAGAUUUUUGAAAUGUU